rnacentral:rRNA from 1 species
GCAAGUCGGGGGGGAGGAGGGGGGGGAGGGCGGAGGGUGCGAGCGUUAGCCGGAGUUAUGGGUGGUAAAGGGUCAGUAGGCUGACGUAUAAGUCAGUUGUGAAAGCCUGUCGCUUAACUAUAGAAAUGCCAUUGAUACUGUAAGUCUUGAGUAUAUUUGAGGUAGCUGGAAUAAGGAGUGUAGCGGUGAAAUGCAUAGAUAUUACUUAGAACACCAAUUGCGAAGGCAGGUUACCAAGAUAUAACUGACGCUGAGGGACGAAAGCGUGGGGAGCGAACAGGAUUAGAUACCCCUGUAGUC